UACGAGGGGGGGCGAGCGUUGUUCGGAAUUACUGGGCGUAAAGCGCACGUAGGCGGCUUUGCAAGUUAGAGGUGUAAAGCCCGGGGCUCAACUCCGGAAUUGCCUUUAAAACUGCAUCGCUAGAAUUGUGGAGAGGUAAGUGGAAUUCCGAGUGUAGAGGUGAAAUUCGUAGAUAUUCGGAAGAACACCAGUGGCGAAGGCGACUUACUGGACACAUAUUGACGCUGAGGUGCGAAAGCGUGGGGAGCAAACAGG
rnacentral:rRNA from 1 species